rnacentral:rRNA from 1 species
CCUACGGGCGGCUGCAGUGGGGAAUAUUGGACAAUGGGGGGAACCCUGAUCCAGCCAUGCCGCGUGUGUGAAGAAGGCCCUCGGGUUGUAAAGCACUUUCAGUGAGGAAGAACGCCUGGUGGUUAAUACCCAUCAGGAAAGACAUCACUCACAGAAGAAGCACCGGCUAACUCCGUGCCAGCAGCCGCGGUAAUACGGAGGGUGCGAGCGUUAAUCGGAAUUACUGGGCGUAAAGCGCGCGUAGGUGGCUUGAUAAGCCGGUUGUGAAAGCCCCGGGCUCAACCUGGGAACGGCAUCCGGAACUGUCAAGCUAGAGUGCAGGAGAGGAAGGUAGAAUUCCCGGUGUAGCGGUGAAAUGCGUAGAGAUCGGGAGGAAUACCAGUGGCGAAGGCGGCCUUCUGGACUGACACUGACACUGAGGUGCGAAAGCGUGGGUAGCAAACAGGAUUAGAUACCCGUGUAGC